rnacentral:rRNA from 1 species
AUGUCUGAUGUAGUGAACAUCAGAUUUUACUACGGUCCUGGUACUGUCCAAACAACUGAGAUGGGAGCUGAUCUGAGUGAAUUUACUCACAUAGAUGUGCCAAUGAGCGCACCUCAAACAUGGUCUGUCAGUCAGUUGAAAGAAUGGAUUGCGGCAAGUUUAGGUCUUGAUACUGAAACACACACCGUCGGUGUUCAUGCAUUGUGGACACGGUCAAGUACAAUAAUUUACUUUUAUUUGAGGCCAAUAGAGCGAGACUCCGAUUGGGUGCGGUGGUUACAAGGUUGUGAACGAAGGGGAUGCAAUCCUAUUGCUUUAGUGCUUCCCGUCGUGAAGGGGGUCACUGCACAUGAAGACCAAGGUGGCAACGAUCCUGGGCAGAGCAGUGUAGGUAGGCGGCUAUCUAUGUCAAAUGCUGGAGAUGAUGGUUACGAACAAGGACAGAGCAGUCAGGUAGAAGGAGGAAAUGCUUAUGGUUAUGAACCAGGGCAGAAUAGUCAGGUAGAAGGGGAAAAUGCCGAUGGUGAAUACAAUGGCGAGGUUGACGCUGACGAGGUAGAUGGGCACAUGCAGGACCAGAUGGAAGAAGAAGACACUGAUGUUGAAAGGGGUUAUGCCGAUGAUUCUGGCGAGUCAGAUGAAGAAGAAAAUGCAGCGGAGGUCCCGAAUCCUGCAUGGUGGAAUCAUGACUUCUCAUCUGCAAUGACCGUGAAUGAUGGACAUGAUUCAGCCUGGCAAUAUCAUCAGAACAAUAUUGCAACGGGUGCUAUGUCCACCCCCUCCUGA